UUUUUUUUAACUUAAUUUUAAGAACGUCGAUUAGGUCUAGACACAAGCAUUUUUUUUAUAUUUGCAAAUUUCACAAAAUGGCAGCGAGUUGAAAAAAAGUUUCAUAUUUUGACCAUGUGUUUCAAUCUAAAAAUGACUGUAAAAAAUUGAAAAAAAAAGCUUGUGGGUAGACCUAGCGAGAUGUUUUGUGAAUAAGUAACGCUUUACAGAUCUAGAAUAUCUUCUAUGGUUUCGUCAAAAUGGUGCCAAAACUUUUGAAAAACACUACUUUCGGGAAAACGCGUUUAAAGAUAAAUGUUACAAUUACAUAAUGGCAAAACGUACCAAUUUAAUCAGCUUUGCCAGGACCGUACAGCAUGUUUUCGAUCAAAUCCUUCACGGGCAUGUUUUUAGUUAUGUCUACUUUAGAAAUAUGAAAAAAAAAAAACGAUUUUUUCAAACCGCGAAGGUAGAAUACCCCCUUAAUACGGUGACAGCAAUACAGGAUGUUUUUAUAGUGUGAUUUGGUGAGUCAGAUGCAAGCGUUUCUGUAACCUGAGAUCUUUCUUGAGAUGAAGGCGAGGGCAAGUCUCCAAGGUGAAGGAGAUUGAAAAUUGCCGGAGUUGAAUGGCGGGCCUAUACAAAUCAUAAGUUCUAUUACUUCCCACCUAAUUGCCUGGAGAAUAUGGCGAAAUGCAUGGCGAAAUCCAUAUUCUCCAACGUCCUGCAGUGCUGCUCCGGAAACGAUGCCAUGGCUUCCCACGUUGGAAUUUAAUUUUUUUAAGACUGGGUCCUCCAAACGCUCCUCCCAUUUUGCAGCUUUCAGCUUUUGAAGUACAUGGACGAUUAUGCAUCAACCUAUUUGUUUUCACCAAGCGAAUGGUUUCCAACCCAGAGUCCCGCAACAAGAUAGUAGAUGAUCUAGCAUCUCUAUAUUUGUGAGAUCCGGAUGGCUAUCUAUGAUGGUAGUAAGCAUAAAAUAAAAGUCUAGCCAAUUAGCGUAGCCCCCAGCGAAUCUUAGGAGCUCAAGAGGGGGCAGAGUCUGUGCCCUAUGCCGGAGUGGACACAAUCACACUGAGAAAUGAUGUCCGUCAAGGAUGAGUGGGAGUGCAUUUGCAAGGUGCGCUUUGAAAUCUCCCCCCGAACUGAGGAUUUAAGCGUUACGAGAAAGUCAUAAAAAUUUUCACUCAGAUUACUUUCAAUUUCGUCCAAACCAAGUUCCUCGAGCUCGGAAUUUUCUAUUGAAAAUUGCAGCCGCCUUCCGCUUUAAAGAUGUUGUUACGAACUGUUUGUUUUCAUAUUUGUGGCAGUGCCACUAGCUCAGGCUUUUCCCAGGGCGGAGUUUCCGCCCUGCCACACAGCUCGCAACAUAAACAUCGAUAACUAUAAACGUCUCACAACUCUACACAACGAAGGCAUUAAAUCUUACAAAUUGACGAGAACUUUAAGUUUUUUUGGCCGCAGAUGCUUUGGCAAUGCGUGCCCACCAAACCUAGGAUGCCCGGACGAUUUAACGGACAUCACCCAUUAUUUAUACGUCGGGGUCACUCCAGACGACAACGACGGCUCCAUCUCCCCCACAGUGAACACUCACUCAACCAUUCCGGUAAGCUCUCCCUUUUUAAUGAACAUAAACAUAAUUAUACUAAUGCUAACAUCAUUUAAAUUUACUUAUCAAUACCUCAUCAGGCUGAAACGGUCAAAGCGACAAGUCUAGGAAGCCUUCGAGAUUUACAAGACACCGCGGAAACUUGGCCCGCAAUUGGCGGUGCUUUUAAUGACGGCACUGAAACGGACGUAUUUACAUACGUAUAGGGUCACCUAAUCUUGAGGAGCUCCAAGGGACAAGAAGGGACGUGCGAAUCAAACGUGAGUAUGUGUUAUAUAUCCCUGUCGGACUAACUGAAUUCUCGCGACCCAAAUUUAGCGGCAAUAGAACGGCACGACGACAACAAUUCGGACUCGCGUUUGACUCCGGAUUGAUUAACAAAGAUCGCGCGCCAGGACUGCAGUUGACGACUGUCGAAGGAAAUUGCAGCGGUCGACGACUCACGGAAUAGCCAAGAAUUGUGCCGGAGUCAAGCGAGUCCAAUGAACAUUGCUCUCCCUGCGCUCAGUAGGUAGUAGGCUUGGAACGGACUCACCGGCGGUAUCGGGAUCGUUCCAGGGAAGAUUGUGGAUUGAGAUCCUACUCCGUAAGCCCUGUCGGGCGGGUAAGUUUUCCCAAUAUGGAUGAAUUCUUUGGCGGCGAGGUUGGCGGUCUUGCUCCAAGUAAGAUGUUUUUUUGUCGACUUCCAGCGAACCGGGAUUAUUCAAACGGCCGGAUCGCCUAACCGGAUUCCCACCGAGCGCCACCGAAACCAUCGCCCUAUCGCGAUACUUAUCGAUACUCUCGAUAACUGCAAAACUCCAACAAGAACAAAAAAGGAAAUACUGCAAUCCGAAACUCGGUUCAAACGAUAGAUGAGCGCAAAGAGAAUUAGCGUCCGCUUCCGUUAUUUUUCUAUACACGCGCACAAAUAUAACUCAUUAUGUAUAUGCAAUCUUGCCCUUGUCUCUUUUUUGAAUAUUGCAAACAAAUGUUGUUUCAACAACGCACUUAACAACAAAAGCGAUAUAAUUAAGUUUAAGCUUUAUUGUAUAUUGUUUAUGCCCAAAUCACCAAAUGUUGAGCUAUUAAGCUUUUUUAUUAUCUGUUUUUUUGCUAAAUAAAACGAUGAUUUAUUAUUGUAGCGAUUUUAAAUUAUUCUUUUAUUUUCUAGUUUGAAAGAAAUAUGAAUAAGUUACGAAGGCGAGUAUGAAUUAUUGCAUAACGUGAAGUCAAAGAGAGCACGCCGGAGAGAAAAAGAACAAGAGAGCGCAAGGGGUUAGCAUAGAUAACGAAAGGUUAUCGCACGGCUUAGGUACCAACGAGUUUGAUUGUCUCCAAGGUUGGUAUGUUUUUACAUUUAACAAGCUUAGUAAUUGCUGGCAGUUGCAAGACCCGACAAUUUGGUAAAAAUAUUUUAAAUUUUCAAACCAAAAAAGACAAUUGAAAAAUUUCAACUUUUUUUCAAAACUGUGGACGUGGCAGUUUUGUGCGGUUUGUAUGCGGUAGAUUGGAUGUGGCAAAC